rnacentral:misc_RNA from 1 species
GUGCUCGCACGCGCACUAAAGGCGGGAUCAUGAAUUCUCAAACCGCUCUUGUUUUCUUCAUCUCAUAAACACACUUUUUUCCAUUGGAAAAUCAAAGGGUGUUGGUAAGUCAGUAACCGAGAAUCAAUAACUCCUAAUCAUUCUCUCCCCUCUCGAUCGCACAUCUAGGGUUUUCAAUUCUCAUUUAUCCAUCGAGUCAAUGGACGAGUCUCCGUCGCAGCUCGUCUCGGAAAUCGGCACUGAACUCGCCCGACUCGCUCGCCCCAACAAAGACUUCCUUGUCAAAUGGCUCCGACAAGCUGCAACUGCUUUAUCACAAAUUGAGCAGCCUUCAUCAUCUGUAGCUUCUAAAAAGAUGGAAGUUAUGAAGAAGCUAGAAACUGCCAUAAAGCCACUAAGCAAAUCGAUUAUUAAGCAUGGCCUUCUUCGACAUAGUGACAAAGAUGUUAAACUUUUGGUGGCCAUUUGUGUCAGUGAAAUUUUCAGGAUCCUAGCACCUGAACCACCUUUUGAAGACAGAUUUCUCAGGGAUGUUUUUAAACUUAUUCUCAGUAUGUUUGCGGAGCUUGGUGAUACAACAAGCCCAUACUUCUCAAGGAGGGUUAAAAUUUUGGAGACUGUUGCACGAUGUAAAUGUUCUGUGAUAAUGCUGGAUGUUGACUGCAAUGAUCUAGUUAUUGAAAUGUUCAACAUUUUUUUCUCUGUUGUGAGGGAAAAUCAUCAGAGGAGUUUGAUAAAUGAUAUUAUGUCUAUAAUGACACAUAUUUUAAAUGAGGAGGCUUCUAAGCCACUUUCUGAUGUGAUUUUGCGGAAUCUUGUGAAGGAAGGAACGGCUGCAUCCCCUGCUGCUUCUACGCUUGCUGUUUCUAUCAUUGAAAGUUGUGCAGAAAAGCUUGAGCCCUUUAUUUGUGGGUUCUUAACGUCUUGUUCUUUGGAUAGGGAUGCUGUUGAGAGUGAGCUCAAGGAAUUUUACCAUGAAAUCCUGUUUAAAGUUUUCCAGUGUGCUCCUCAGAUGCUUCUUGCAGUCAUCCCUAACUUGGCCCAAGAAUUAGUGACUGAUCAGGUUGAUGUUCGAAUAAAAGCUGUUAAUUUAAUUGGAAAGCUCUUUGCCCUACCUGACCACCAUGUUGCACAAAAGUAUCGCAAUCUUUUUAUAGAGUUCAAAAAUAGAUUCUCGGAUAAAUCUGUGGAAGUUAGACUCAGUGCUCUACAGUGUGCUAAAGCUUGCUACAUGGCCAAUCCAUCCGGGAAAGAAUCAUCUCAACUUCUCUCUGCCCUUGAAGGUCGAUUUCUGGAUUUUGAUGAGAGAGUGAGAACACUGGCAGUGGUUGUUGUCUGCGAUCUUGCCAGGUUCAACCCAAAAAGUAUUCCCCCUGAGUUAAUAUCAAAAGCUGCUGAAAGACUACGGGAUAAGAAGGUAUCUGUUAGGAAGAAGGCUUUGCAGAAGUUGAUGGAGGUAUAUCAAGAUUAUUGUAACAAGUGUUCUGAAGGCUAUCUGAACAUAGGCAACCACUUUGAACAGAUUCCUUGUAAAAUCCUAAUGCUUUGUUAUGAUAAAGAUUGUAAAGAGUUCAGGUCCCAAAACAUGGAGCUUAUUCUUGCUGAGGAUUUGUUUCCAAUUCAUCUUUCUGUUGAGGAUAGGACUAGGCAUUGGAUCCAUUUCUUUUCUCUUUUCACUCCUCUUCAUGUGAAAGCAUUGAACUCAAUUUUAUCUCAGAAACGAAGGUAUUUAUAAUAAAUAUUACUGUGAUCAUAGUGAAAAAUAAUGAUUUCGUUAUGAGGUUUGUUUGUUUCCAGGUUGCAAACCGAAAUGCAAAGUUUUUUGGUUCUACGGAAGAAACAGAAGGACAACAGUUCUGAAGAAAUGCAGAAGAGAAUUAAAAAUUCCUUUCUGAAAAUGUCUGCUUCAUUUCCAGAUCCUUUGAAAGCAGAAGAGUGCUUUCAUAAAUUGAAUCAGAUGAAGGACAAUAAUAUUUUUAGUGCAUUGGAGCAAUUGCUGGUUGAAAGUACCUUUAGAAAUGCCAAGAAAAUGAGGGAUAAAUUUCUCAAAAUGAUAGGAGAUAAACACCCACACUUUGAAUUUCUUCAGUUACUGUCUUCAAAAUGCUCAUUCAAUGUAUUCAGCUCAGAGCAUGUUCGUUGUAUUUUGGAUCAGCUUUCCAGUAAUAUAUAUGGUUAUGGAAACCUGGAGGCUUCUUCUGCGAAACUGCUUUUGGCUUUCAUCAACAUUUUCCCUUCACUUUUAAGAGGUUCUGAAGAGCAGUUUCGAAUGUUGUUAGAGGAGAAGCAUCCAAUUAAGGAUUUGCUUAUUGAAGUGUUAGCAAAAGCAGCUCCUCAUAUAUCGGUCGAAUUUAGUGAAUUUUACCCUUUCUUGGAGAGAGUGUGUUUGGAGGGAACUCGGACUCAGUCCAAGCAUGCUGUUUCUGCAAUUGCUUCAUUGAUCACCUCUUCUGAGCAUUUUGUUUUCUCAAAACUAUGCAAGGAACUUGUAGAUUCUCUACAUAGAGGGUGGAAUACUCCAACCAUUUUGCAGUCCUUGGGCUGUAUUGCUCAACACUCUGUGACAUCAUUUGAAGCUCAAUAUGGAGAGAUCAGAUCAUAUAUAGUCGAGAGAAUUUUUCAAGUGGAACAAUCUGAUGAUCUGACUGCAUUUGAUGGGACUUCUGAGUGUUGUCAUUCUUGCAAACUCAAGAUAUGUGGGCUGAAAACACUUGUCAGGAGUUUUUUGCCACAUCGAGGAUCUCAUGUCAAUCUUCAAAUUGAUGAAUUGUUGCAUAUUUUAUUAAAUUUGCUGCAAAGGGGUGAUGCUUUUGAUGGAAUCAUCUCAUGUGCAAGUGACAAAACUCAUAUCAGAUUAGCUGCUGCAAAAUCUGUUCUCCGACUUUCCAGAAGAUGGGAUUUACAUGUGUCUCCAAAAAUUUUUUGCUUGACAAUUUUGAUGGCAAGGGACUCAUAUUCUUCAGUUAGGAGAAAAUUCCUUAAUAAAACACACAAGCUUUUAAAGGAGCAUGCCAUACCGAGUAGAUAUGCAUGUGCUUUUCCAUUGGCUGCAUUCGAUUGCUGUAAGGAUCUGCAGGAUGCUUCAUCUAAAUACAUGGAAGAAUUUAUCAAAGAAUACAGUAUAGAAGCUCGAAAUCACCAAACCUCUGCAGUGCAAGGAGGAUCACUUACAGAUUGUCCGGCAUACAUAGUUGUAUUCUUGAUCCAUAUUCUUGCUCAUGAUUCUGGCUUUCCAGCUGAAGACUGUCAGGAUGAACAAGUGUAUGCUGAUUUUGUUAGUCCACUAUUUUGGGUUGUACGAGCAUUGGUAAAUUCCAAUAUUGUUAACGGUGAUAUGGACAUUGUUAAUGAUGCUGUCUUGUAUUUGCUAAGUAUUUUUCGUGCUAUUAAAAGAGCUGAAGAUGCCAUUGAUGCUACAAGAACUCCUAAGCUCCAAAUUCUGGCAGAGAUUGGGAUAUCCUCUGUAAAUGCAUUAAAUUAUAAUGGCAUUUCAACAUCACGUGCCCCUGGGCUAAUUUUGCUGCCAUCAUCUUUGUAUAGAAUAUGUUCAGAUAAGAAGUCUAAUGAGUUCCCUGUUGAUGAGAAUUUUAUCAAGAGAGUCAUUCAGAGUCUCAAAUCUCAAUUCUCUAUGGUGGUUAGCUGCCUUCCAAAACGCGGUAAAAAGUGUCAAGAGGAUGGAAUACAGUCUGGUGAUGCUAAGUAUAACACACUGAACUUGGCAACUCAUGAUCAAGCUAUGUUAUUAGGAAUUGAGGCAACAGAAAUGCAAGGACCUUCAAGUCAGGAUAUCAAUUUGGGACAUAGACAAAGAUGUGCUGCAUCUAAAUCAGCUGGACUUCACAUUGAGGUGUGCAAAAAUAAUGUGCCUAUGAGCUCUAAAUCCACUAAGGAGAAACAAAUGUCUUCAUCCUGUGAUUCUGCAACCAUUAAACCUUCUCUGAGCCAAUCACAUGAGAGCGAGGCAUUAAUUGGAAAGCGCAUCAAAUUAUUAUCUCCUGUUGAUAAAUGUUUUUAUUCAGGUACAGUGGUUGGUUUUAAUCCUUGCAACAAGACUCACAAGAUCUCAUAUGAUGGUGGUGAUGUUGAAUUACUUUGCUUAGAUAGUGAAAGCUGGGAGACUAUUUGUGAUGAUUCCCCCGAGGAUAAGGAGAUGACAUUGGCAGAUGAGUCAAACGCAUUCCAUUCAAGUGAUUGUGAUCUCGUUGGGUGCUCAUCUCUUGGGGGUCAGAGAGAAACUGUGAAUGCAUUCGGAGAUUGUGCCAGCACACAGUCAAAGAACUUCGCAAACAAGGAAAAUGAAAAGUUUUGUAAUGGAAUGACUUCUUUUCCUGAUAAGGGAAAGAAGGGACAGAAAAAGGGACACAAGAUUUUCUUGGAGAAAUCAGCAUCAGAAGUUGUUAAUGUAAAGGGAGAUGCUUUUGUCAGAAGAACGCGGCGACGGAAAGUAUAAAUGGUCUCUAAUACCAUGGCAUCCCCACUUAUGAGAGUUGGAACUCAAAUCUGCAUUUUAAGGUUGGUUCUCCUGUAAGCUUAGACCUAUAACUACACGGGUGAAUUACUGAGUGACAUGUUUCCAUUGCAAAUUACCAAAAUUUUCAUCUCUGGCAUUCUGUAAAUAAUUUCUCGUAUGUAAUUUUGAUUAUAUUCCCUACAGAUAGAAAGAAUCGCAGUGCAUAAUUAAACCUUUCUUGGCAAGAAAGUCUUGUCUUAGAUGACACUGUUUCAGUGUUAAUCACUUAAUUGGGUUUGCGUAGUUCACAUUUGUUUAUAACAACCAUUUCCUGCUAAGAAAAUCUGUGUCUAAUGCAAUAGCAAAGUUACAUUUUGAUUAUUGAUUGUCCAAUUGGUUUCUAUCCUUGUUGUUCUUGUUUUUGGUGCUAUGAGUUCCAAUUGCCGAGCUGUG